rnacentral:misc_RNA from 1 species
AGACCUGGUUCCUUCAAAUCAAUGAAAUCAUUCAAAGCUUCUAAAUCUUUUAACACUUACAGUUCUUUUAAGUUGACUGUUAAUGGUCAGAAUAGAACACAAUCAGAUGCAAAUCUGCUUGCAGGACUAGACCUUGAAGCUUUGAUUAAUAGGAAAAGGAAACCAUCUUAUGUGAGGAUUGUGAGCAAGCAAAUGGUUGGAGUUUUUCUUAGCGUAUGGGUUCGUAGGGGCCUAAGAAAGCAUAUACAGAAUUUGAAUGUAUCUACAGUCGGUGUUGGAG